GAUGAACGCUGGCGGCGUGCCUAAUACAUGCAAGUCGAGCGAACGGACGAGAAGCUUCCUUCUCUGAUGUUAGCGGCGGACGGGUGAGUAACACGUGGAUAACCUACCUAUAAGACUGGGAUAACUUCGGGAAACCGGAGCUAAUACCGGAUAAUAUUUUGAACCGCAUGGUUCAAAAGUGAAAGACGGUCUUGCUGUCACUUAUAGAUGGAUCCGCGCUGCAUUAGCUAGUUGGUAAGGUAACGGCUUACCAAGGCAACGAUGCAUAGCCGACCUGAGAGGGUGAUCGGCCACACUGGAACUGAGACACGGUCCAGACUCCUACGGGAGGCAGCAGUAGGGAAUCUUCCGCAAUGGGCGAAAGCCUGACGGAGCAACGCCGCGUGAGUGAUGAAGGUCUUCGGAUCGUAAAACUCUGUUAUUAGGGAAGAACAUAUGUGUAAGUAACUGUGCACAUCUUGACGGUACCUAAUCAGAAAGCCACGGCUAACUACGUG
rnacentral:rRNA from 1 species